rnacentral:rRNA from 1 species
AGCGUGGAGACAGGUGGUGCAUGGCUGUCGUCAGCUCGUGUCGUGAGAUGUUGGGUUAAGUCCCGCAACGAGCGCAACCCUCACCCUUUGUUGCCAUCAGGUUAUGCUGGGCACUCUAAGGGAACUGCCUCGGUUAACGAGGAGGAAGGUGGGGAUGACGUCAAGUCAUCAUGCCCCUUACGCUCUGGGCUACACACGUGCUACAAUGGCCAAUACAAAGGGCUGCAAACCCGCGAGGGCAAGCCAAUCCCAAAAAAUUGGUCUCAGUUCAGAUUGUAGGCUGCAACCCGCCUGCAUGAAGGAGGAAUCGCUAGUGAUCGUGGAUCAGCAUGCCACGGUGAAUACGUUCCCGGGCCUUGUACACACCGCCCGUCACACCACGAAAGUCUGCUGUACUCGAAGUCGCUGAG